rnacentral:rRNA from 1 species
GACGAAACCGGAGGAAGGUGGGGAUGACGUCAAGUCAUCAUGGCCCUUACGGCCUGGGCUACACACGUGCUACAAUGGUCGGUACAAAGGGUUGCCAAGCCGCGAGGUGGAGCUAAUCCCAUAAAACCGAAUCGUAGUCCGGAUCGCAGUCUGCAACUCGACUGCGUGAAGUCGGAAUCGCUAGUAAUCGUGAAAUCAGAAUGUCACGGUGAAUACGUUCCCGGGCCUU